rnacentral:sRNA from 1 species
UCUCUCUUGUCUUCUU